GUGAGCAAGGCCCCCUGGCGACGCUGGAGCACUUUGAGGGUCUGUACCGCAUCAAUCUGCUUCCUCCGGUACAGACAGGCCAGUGGAAAGUUCAUGCAAAGAGCGACGGACAACUCACUUUCAAUGUAAUAGGUGACAGCAGUGUGGAUUUCCUGUACUAUUUUGCUGUUAUAACCAAUGAAACACACCCAGGUCUGGCCAGAGUGGAGGGCAGCCCAGUAGCAGGUGAGGGAUCCAUAAAAAGUUAAUCUUGUCUGUCAACAAUCAGUCUCACACCAGGAGCGUGCGUUACCUUCCCAGGCGUUCCCGCCUUGCUGGUGCUGGCUGUAACAGGCCUGGCGCUGAAGGACGACGCGUCUUUCAGUCACGUGACGCUGCUAGGAGCUCAAGGGGAGAGCCUUCAGCAGGUGAAGUUGGUCUCCCCCUCCCCCUCUUCACCUUCAUCCUACUCUGUAGACGAGCUGGUGGGACAGGUGGAGUCCGUCCCCAGCGUCCCCUUCUGUGUACAACUGACAGGCCAAGACAGCCGAGGAAACAAGCUGGAGAGGGUUUCCACAGAGAUGGUGCAGCCCACUCGUGUUCAGAUACAGGUGUUGUCUGUCCCUCGUCUGGUACCUGGCCACAGCACAGUGGUGGACUUCGACAUCCUGAACCACGGGCCGGGCCGACUCUUCAAUCUGAGCGUUGACGACGACUGUGGAUAUCUUGAUAAAAAAGGACCUCACAGGUUCCAUGUUGCUGAACAAGGGUCUUUCCGUGACCAGGUGAACCUCCGCACUCCGGCCACAGCUCAGGCCGGAGCCACCGUCACUCUGACACUCUCUGUUCGUGCUCUUGACUCUGCAGACUCAAAUUACGCCGUUGCCUACUUGACUGUUGUUCCCCCGGAUCCUGACACGUCCCCACCGUCCUGCUCUGCUGCAGGUGAGCGGCCCAUCUGUCCCUCCACGUGCACGCAGGCGAGCUGGAGUGUUUCUGUAGUCGUGGCAGACAGAGGGCCCUUUGGCCUUGCUGCUGUCCAGCUGCAGAAGGGUGAAGGCAGUCUGACUUUAUUCCUCAGCCCCCCACCAAAAGAGGAGAUCACGGGAAGCGCUCAGCCCGGCACCGACCAACAUCAGGCACACAGGGACCAGACAGGCAGUGGAGUCUUCCGCCGCCAUCACCACCACAAGGCCAGAUUAGAGAAGGGGGACCCCCCUUUGAAUGUGUCUGAAUGGGGCCUGGGCUCUCAGCCGCUGUGGGUCAGAUACACAUCCAGCUGCUGCUCUGCUCAGGCAGAGCUUCUGGUGUGGGACACGGGUGGAAACAUGAAGCGCUGCCAUCUAACACCUGAUCAGCAAAGGCAGCUAAAAGACAGGGAGACAGAAGCCAGCGGAGUCGGACGGAUCAACCUCACCUUCCUGCUUUUAAACCUGCUGUGGUGUCAUCUGCUUUAGCUCGCUCUGAUUGAUCACUCAAUCUCCAGUUUUCCAGACACGGAGAUAAUCAAAGAGGAAUUAAAGAUCGCUCUUUUCUUU
rnacentral:lncRNA from 1 species